rfam:Cephalotus follicularis DNA, scaffold: scaffold280, isolate: St1.
GUGUACGAUCAUAUUAGUACUAAUGCAUCAGAUCCCAUUGGAACUCCGAAGUUAAGCGUGCUUGGACGAGAAUGGUACUAAGACAAGAUUUGUCGCAGGACUUCCACAGACAUAGGCU